AGACUAUUAAUAUUAGCCUCAUGAUAAAAAGACAGGCUAGUUGGCUCGUGGCUAUCCCAGUGUUAUUGAAAAUGAAAACCAUCCCACCGCAUUUAGACACCACUUUGUUUCAAGAAUGGCGUGAAUCAUCCAGGCAGACCAGAGUUGGACAACUAUAAGGGCAGUGCCCUUCUGUCCCUUUGGGAGUUCCAGAAAGCCCACUAAUAAUUAAAUUCAGAUCAACAAGAACCCUGAAUAUCCAAGAACUCUGCAAUACUAAACAGUGCUCUUCAAAUGCCACUGUAGAGGAAAUCUUGAAGACCAACAACCAGCACUGUAGAGGGCAGACACUUUAACGAGAGGACACUGAUGACCACAAGCAUACCUUCGUUCAGUGACGAGCAGUGUCCCUCCAUGAAUGAGCGUGCAGCUGACCAGGCUACGUCUCUCCAGUCUUUCUCCCUACCCCGUGGCCUCGGCUCUCCUCUGUGGCCAGCACAUCACCUCUCACAAUGUGCUCAUCCAUAAAGAUGCUGCCGUCGAUUUUUCAUUCUUUUGGCCCAAACAAGGCUGAGCAGUGUGAUUAUAUUUUAGGAAAGGCUGACAUUCGGUAGCGUCUUCCUUUCAAACCACCGUGGCCAAUUUCGGAUCCUCGCAGACACUUUCCAGAUGCUCCCGUUCAUUGCCACUGUCUGGCUGUCGUUGCCAAGGGAAAGGUCACAGCAGAAGGCGCUUCUCUUCUGGAAUCAAGCGAGCUCUCUGAUGCUUCUUAUUUUCCAAGCUAAAAGGCAAGGAACAAAGUCCUGCUUCCUCGGGGAUUUUAAACUGGAAGACCCAAGCAUGACCUCAGAGCAUCGCUCUGUAAGUCUUUGAUGGUCAUGUGAACUGACUGCCCUCUGGAAGCCAUGCUGUGAGGAAGACCGUCAUCUGUCCCUCAUGGGGGUACCACAGAGAGGCACAUAUCUCUGGCACACCUGGGGACGACCCUGUUACACCAUAGUAAAAUGGUCAGCUCUAGUCC